UCGGGAAUUUUGGGCAAUGGGCGAAAGCCUGACCCAGCAACGCCGCGUGAAGGAUGAAGUAUUUCGGUAUGUAAACUUCGUAAGAAUAGGAAGAAUAAAUGACGGUACUAUUUGUAAGGUCCGGCUAACUACGUGCCAGCAGCCGCGGUAAUACGUAGGGACCAAGCGUUGUUCGGAUUUACUGGGCGUAAAGGGCGCGUAGGCGGUGUGUCAAGUCAGUUGUGAAAUCUCCGAGCUUAACUCGGAACGGUCAACUGAUACUGUCACACUAGAGUACAGAAGGGGCAAUCGGAAUUCUUGGUGUAGCGGUGAAAUGCGUAGAUAUCAAGAGGAACACCUGAGGCGAAGGCGGGUUGCUGGGCUGAUACUGACGCUGAGGCGCGAAAGCGUGGGGAGCAAACAGGAUUAGAUACCCAUGUAGUCCCUGAGCGGGCUGGCAAGGCGCAU
rnacentral:rRNA from 1 species